rnacentral:rRNA from 1 species
AUUGAACGCUGGCGGCAGGCCUAACACAUGCAAGUCGAACGAGUGGCGGACGGGUGAGUAAUGUCUGGGAAACUGCCCGAUGGAGGGGGAUAACUACUGGAAAAGGUAGCUAAUACCGCAUACCAUCGGAUGUGCCCAGGGGGGAUUAGCUAGUAGGUGGGGUAACGGCUCACCUAGGCGACGAUUCCUAGCUGGUCUGAGAGGGUGAACAGCCACACUGGAACUGAGACACGGUCCAGACGCCUACGGGAGGCAGAAGUGGGGAAUAUUGCACAAUGGGCGCAAGCCUGAUGCAGCCAGGCCGCGUGUAUGAAGAAGGCCUUCGGGUUGUAAAGUACUUUCAGCGGGGAGGCGUUACUCGCAGAGGAAGCACCGGCUAACUCCGUGCCAGCAGCCGCGGUAAUUC